rnacentral:lncRNA from 1 species
UUCGAAAUUCUUGAUUAAAUUUUAAUUUUUAAUUUAAGUUCAAAUUAAAAUUUAAAAUUAUAUAUUUAAUUUUUAAAUUUUAAUUCAUAUUUUAAUUAAAAAAGUUAAAAAAAUAAAUUUAAUCCGAAUAAAUAUUCAUUCCGUCUGGAUUCAACUGCCAAUCCGCCUCCUAGGCCGGAUUAAAAAAAGAGGUGAUUGGGAGAUUCCCAUUCCACUCGAGAAUCGGAAUCGGACUGGGACUCCCGCGUACCAAACACUCACAAAUGGAUUCACCCAUUCCGAUUCCGAUUUCAGGAUGGAAAAGAAGCAAACAAAACACGCCCUUAUAGAAAACUAGGUGUUCAUAAUUUAUGAUCUAUAAAAGCCUUAUUACGAAUGUUUUAAGACACAUAUU